CAGUGUCUGGUGGGUAGUUUGACUGGGGCGGUCUCCUCCUAAAGAGUAACGGAGGAGCACGAAGGUCAGCUAAUCCUGGUCGGACAUCAGGAGGUUAGUGCAAUGGCAUAAGCUGGCUUGACUGCGAGCGUGACGGCGCGAGCAGGUGCGAAAGCAGGUCAUAGUGAUCCGGUGGUUCUGAAUGGAAGGGCCAUCGCUCAACGGAUAAAAGGUACUCCGGGGAUAACAGGCUGAUACCGCCCAAGAGUUCAUAUCGACGGCGGUGUUUGGCACCUCGAUGUCGGCUCAUCACAUCCUGGGGCUGAAGUAGGUCCCAAGGGUAUGGCUGUUCGCCAUUUAAAGUGGUACGCGAGCUGGGUUUAGAACGUCGUGAGACAGUUCGGUCCCUAUCUGCCGUGGGCGCUGGAGAAUUGAGGGGGGCUGCUCCUAGUACGAGAGGACCGGAGUGGACGCAUCACUGGUGUUCGGGUUGUCAUGCCAAUGGCAUUGCCCGGUAGCUAAAUGCGGAAGAGAUAAGUGCUGAAAGCAUCUAAGCACGAAACUUGCCCCGAGAUGAGUUCUCCCUGACUCCUUGAGAGUCCUGAAGGAACGUUGAAGACGACGACGUUGAUAGGCCGGGUGUGUAAGCGCAGCGAUGCGUUGAGCUAACCGGUACUAAUGAACCGUGAGGCUUAACCUUACAACG
rnacentral:rRNA from 1 species